CGUAACAAGGUUUCCGUAGGUGAACCUGCGGAAGGAUCAUUGACGAGUCCCUCGAAAGUAGAUGAGAAACGCGAACAUGUGACGGGAACGGAACGUGGAUGCGCGGGUGUGCGGACGGGACAUCGGAACGAUGCGGUCUUCACUCGUCGCCCACACGUCCCGACGGGGUGGUCGCACGCCUCGAGCGCGCGCUCUGCCUCGUCGAGGCGAACGUAACACCAAGGCGCGGCAAGCGCCAAGGAACAUUACAGCGUCACAGCGCUCGUCCUACGGCGCGCCCCGUCCGCGGGGUACGCACUGCGGGUCGAGUGACUGCGCGUGUGGUGCGCGAUGAGCGCCCGAACGAAAAAAACGACUCUCGGCAACGGAUAUCUCGGCUCUCGCAUCGAUGAAGAACGUAGCGAAAUGCGAUACUUGGUGUGAAUUGCAGAAUCCCGUGAACCAUCGAGUCUUUGAACGCAAGUUGCGCCCGAAGCGAUCUCGCGGAGGGCACGCCCGCCUGGGCGUCACGCAUCGCGUCGCCCCCCGCGCCAUCACCCAUCAGGGUUGGACGCAGGUGGGGGCGGAGAAUGGCCUCCCGUGCGCUUGAUCGCGCGGCCGGCCCAAACGAUGUCACCUCGGCGCCGGGCGCCACGAGCAUUGGUGGUCGAUCGCACGGCAUCGCUUGCCGUCGCGUCCGGAAUCGUGGUGACGCACGAGCACUCCUAGGGCGGCCAUUGGCCGAACCCCACGACCGCGACCCCAGGUCGGGCGGGAUCACCCGCUGAGUUUAAGCAUAUCAAUAG
rnacentral:rRNA from 1 species